CGGGACAUGAAGCUCAACGUACUGGCAGCGGCCAGUUGUCAACGGGGUCAUAUAAAUACACAGCAUAAUCAGGCUGCAUGAGGUGCAGGUGUGCACCUCCCAAUCAGCGCAACCGCGCGGACACCCACACAGCCCAGGCUGGAGCGGCAGGAUCAUGACACAAGGGCCUCAUUGAACCAUCACAGGCCAGCGGUGAGGGACCGCUUCAAAUUUACAGAGCUCGGUUGUACACAGAGACUUCCCACACUGUUUUCUUAUUCUACAAGCAAGAAUAUCAGGACUGCUGAGGGCCUCAGAGUGCCUACUCCUGCCUUCUGCCUCCACAUCGGGCACGGGCUGCCAGCCGGCCUGCCGACCAACCUCGCUGAACCCCUGCCAAGCUCCUGACGCCAUCCUGGGUGGUCCUGCUUCAUGCGGCUCUGGCAGAGCGCUACGCGGCCGGCCUCCCACCCAC